rnacentral:rRNA from 1 species
AGAGUUUGAUCCUGGCUCAGAACGAACGCUGGCGGCAUGGAUUAGGCAUGCAAGUCGAACGGGAGCAGCAAUGCUCCAGUGGCGCAAGGGUGAGGAACACGUGAACAACCUGCCUUCGAGUUGGGGAUAGCUUCUGGAAACGGGAGAUAAUACCGAAUAACAUCUCCGGGUCGCAUGACCUGGAGAUCAAAGCAGCAAUGCGCUUGAAGAGGGGUUCGCGUCCCAUUAGCUAGUUGGUGAGGUAACGGCCCACCAAGGCGAUGAUGGGUAGCUGGUCUGAGAGGACGAUCAGCCACAUUGGGACUGAGAUACUGCCCAGACUCCUACGGGAGGCUGCAGUCGAGAAUUUUGGGCAAUGGACGAAAGUCUGAACCCCCAGCAAUGCCGCGUGCGGGAUGAAGGUCUUCGGAUUGUAAACCGCUGUCAAGAGGGACGAAAUUUGACGGUACCUCUGGAGGAAGCCACGGCUAACUACGUGCCAGCAGCCGC